AAGCUCGUAGUUGAAUUUCGGGGUUAGUAGGUUGGUCAUGCCUCCGGUAUGUACUGGUCUCACUGAUUCCUCCUUCCUGAUGAACCGUAAUGCCAUUAAUUUGGUGUUGCGGGGAAUUUGGACUGUUACUCUGAAAAAAUUAGAGUGUUUAAAGCAAGCUAACGCUUGAAUACAUUAGCAUGGAAUAAUGAAAUAGGACGUUCGAUCCUAUUUUGUUGGUUUCUAGGAUUGACGUAAUGAUUAAUAGGGAUAGUUGGG
rnacentral:rRNA from 1 species